rnacentral:rRNA from 1 species
UACGUAGGGUGCAAGCGUUGUCCGGAAUUAUUGGGCGUAAAGAGCUCGUAGGCGGUUUGUCGCGUCGGCUGUGAAACCUCGGGGCUCAACCCCGAGCCUGCAGUCGAUACGGGCAAACUAGAGUGUGGUAGGGGAGACUGGAAUUCCUGGUGUAGCGGUGAAAUGCGCAGAUAUCAGGAGGAACACCGGCGGCGAAGGCGGCAUCCUGGACCGAUACUGACGCUGAGGAGCGAAAGCCAGGGGAGCAAACGGG